UACGUAGGUCCCGAGCGUUGUCCGGAUUUAUUGGGCGUAAAGCGAGCGCAGGUGGUUUAUUAAGUCUGGUGUAAAAGGCAGUGGCUCAACCAUUGUAUGCAUUGGAAACUGGUAGACUUGAGUGCAGGAGAGGAGAGUGGAAUUCCAUGUGUAGCGGUGAAAUGCGUAGAUAUAUGGAGGAACACCAGUGGCGAAGGCGGCCUGCUGGACAUUAACUGACGCUGAGGCGCGAAAGCGUGGGGAGCAAACAGG
rnacentral:rRNA from 1 species